rnacentral:rRNA from 1 species
CUAGUAACUGCGAGUGAAGCGGGAAAAGCUCAAAUUUAAAAUCUGGCGGUCUCCGGCCGUCCGAGUUGUAAUUUAGAGAAGCGUUAUCCGUGCUGGACCGUGUAUAAGUCUCCUGGAAUGGAGCGUCAUAGAGGGUGAGAAUCCCGUCUUUGACACGGACUACCAGUGCAUUGUGAUGCGCUCUCGACGAGUCGAGUUGUUUGGGAAUGCAGCUCAAAAUGGGUGGUAAAUGCCAUCUAAAGCUAAAUAUUGGCGAGAGACCGAUAGCGAACAAGUACCGUGAGGGAAAGAUGAAAAGAACUUUGGAAAGAGAGUUAAACAGUACGUGAAAUUGUCGAAAGGGAAACGGUUGCAGUCAGUCGCGUCCGCCGGGGAUCAACCUUGCUUUUGCUUGGCGUAUUUCCCGGUGGAUGGGUCAGCAUCAGUUUUGACCGCAGUUGAAAGGCUGGAGGAAUGUGGCACCUUCGGGUGUGUUAUAGCCUCCUGUCAUAUGCUGCGGUUGGGACUGAGGAACUCAGCACGCCGAAAGGCCGGGAUUCGUCCACGUUCGUGCUUAGGAUGCUGG